GAGCCUUCGAUUGCUCUUCACUUCGCUUGUACUGGAUUGCAGCUGCACUCGCAAGGUGCUUGAGGACCUUGUUCCCUGCUGGACCAUACAAAGAAAAUAAGCUGUGCUAAAAGGUUAUGAUUCCAUUUGGUCAACAAGCCUGAGUAUAUCAGGAAGAAAUUGUUAAAAUGUGACCCAGUUUAAGACAGCUACUGCACAUCCUUGGCUGCCAUCUUCCUUGAUCAACCAUCUUUGACCCCACACUGUUGAACUUAAUGUCUGGUUCUUGUGUAACUAGACCUUCUGUGCUCCUGAUUCAAGAAUAUCUCAAUAACACAGAGAAGAAAUCAAAGCCCUUCUUCAGAUAAUGCUGGGUUGAAUUGCUUCUGGCCGGGGAACACACAUUCCUCAAUCUUUUCCAGCAACUUGUACAUCCCAUGUGCUUACAGGAUGUAAAAGUUUAGUAUUGCCCAUAUGAUACCCAGUAAGUUUUCCUGUCUUUCCUUUUUCAUGAAUUGAACUUGAUUCACAGCCAUUAAAAUUCAUUUGGCAAAAUGUCUCCCCUGGCAGGACUUAGCAGCUCUACCAUUAGUGGAUGGGCUGACCUUCCAUUAGGGGCAGCAAAGUGGAAGAACCAGCAGCUCACAGGUGGUAGCUCCUUUGUGCAGACCCGCGCUUUUGAAGCCUGUUUUACAGACACCCAUAGCCUUGUUCAUAUUCAGAAGAAGAUUAACACAACAAUGGAUGACUUACUAAGGAACCAGCAUCCACACUGUGUCUCUUGUUCUAUACCAAAGGGUAAACAACCACUUUGCUUGUGACGCUGUGUUUCAUUUUGGUGACUCCAUAGAAUUGAAAACCUUUUGCUCUGAUGGCUGAGAAUCAGCUGUAGAAUGGGAAAAGUGCUUAGAGUCACUGGGGAAUGAGGAUAAUCGCCAAAACACAUUUACCGCUCACAUUCAGAUGAAGAUUAAGUGAUUCCUUUAAUACGCAUCAACUCGAUUAAACUUCAUAGGAGCAAAAGCCUUUUGAAAUAAAUUAGCCAGAUACUUUCUGGAAACAAGAAGCAUUUGAGGCUAAAUUCUCCUAUGCCAUUACUUGCCCUCUUGUCAUUCCAAGGAAUGAACCUGAUAGAGAACAGGAGGGGCCAACUGACUUGUGUACAGAGCACACCCUAGCCUGUGUUCUGAGCAAGGUGUGAAGCACUGUGACUGUAGCACGUUGCUUAACAGCUCUGAAAUUAUUGUCAUCAAUGUGUGCAAAAAAGGAGAAUUUGACAAGUAGAAAAUUGUAAACUGGGGUUUCAAUCCUGAUUACAAACACUUUGAUCAGACCUUUUGAGGCAUUAUGGAGAUAUACAAUACUUUUGGACGUCAUUCAUAAGUCAUUUGAGUUUGGAAAUCCGAUUUGGUUCAUAGCCAGCUUCUCCUGCCUUCUCAGUAUGAAAGCUCAGGGAAGUUAUUGGACUUUGUGCGUCUUGGUUUCCUCGUAUGUAAAACUGAAACAAGAACACAGAAAGUGAUGCUUGAGAAGCCACAAGCUGUCAAAAAUUUUUGGGACUGCAGGGUAAUGCUGGCACGUGCCUUUAAUCUCAGCAGAAGCAAGUGGAUCUCUGUGCAUUUGAGGCCAGCCUGGUCCACAGAGGGAGUUCCAAGACAGCCAAGGGUACACAAGAGAACCCCAGACUUGAAAAACCAAACCAAACCAAACAAAAUCAUGGGACUAGAAGUCAAGAUUGUGUACACAGGAAACAGUUGCCAAAGGAAAUAUUUGAGAGUGUGGAAGUACUCAAGGCAAAUAUCCCAGGAAAUAAAGGUAGAGGCAUGAUGUAGUGUGGUAGCAAAGAGAGAGAAACCUGCAAAGUGUUUAUGAAUGGCUAUUUUGGCGAACAACUGAGACUCAAUCACAGUAGGUGCCUUCAAGAGAUGGUGGAGAACUCAGGAUGAUCACACUGGCGGGAGAGGAAGCUAGGGUUCUCCCUCUAGCUCUUCCCAUUGCUGACCCAGUGUGCUCCUAGUAUGAAUGCUUGACCCUUAGGAGCCUGGGUGGUCCACCGAAGUGAAUCCUUGGGGUGAAGAGACUUGUACAGAAAAGGAUGACAUUGGCAGAAGCUGCAGUGGUGAGUGCUGUGGAGAAGUGGCAACAAUCUGUUACGACUUGGAGGGUUUUAUUGAUGCGUGUACUCUGGCCACUGCCAAUUUAAGAGAACCAUUAAGGACCUCACGGGCUCAGGAUCAUUUGUGUCCAUAUGGCUCCUUACAGGCAGCUUCCACAUUUGACUGUAGCUUCAUUUGUGGACCCAGUUUUUUUUUUUUAUUAUAGAAAUCAUUUCUAAGCCCUAAACCAUGGUUGACCCUGGUGUGUGUGUGUGUGUGUGUGUGUGUGUGUGUGUGUGUUUGUGUGUGUGUUGCACAUGUGUAAGCAUACUUGUACAUGUGUUUGUUAAGAGGGGAUGGAUACACCCCUACAGCAGCAGUUGUGAUGACAGAUAAAAGCACAUUCAGUGUCACCACCACCCUCAACUAUGGGCUUCUCUUGACUCUUAGGUAAAGGUCCUUUGGCAUUGUGCUUUAAAGACAUCCUUCCCAACCAUUCCCUGUUUUCCAUUUUUUUAUUGGAUAUAUUUCUUUAUUUACAUUUCAAAUGUUAUUACCUUUCCCAGUUUCCUGUCCAUAAGCCCCCUAUCCCCACCCCUCCCCCAUAAGGCUCUUUCCCCCAUCUACCUCCCCUUACCACCCCCAUGACAUUUGCCUGCACUGGGGGUCCAACCUUGGCAGGACCAAGGGCUUCCCCUUCCACUGGUGCCCCAACAAGGCUCUUCUCCCUACCUAUGCAGUUGGAGCCCUGGUGGUUUAGUCCCUGGGAGCAUAUGAUGUACCUACAGCCUAUGCAAGCCUCUUCCUCAAAUCCUUCCUCUGUGACAAACAACACAGUUGGUGUAUUCUGAUGGCUUCAAGAGGAGGUCAAGGAAUAACUGUCUCCAAAGUACAGUGAUAAAUCUGGGACAGACAGACCUCAGUGUUCUCAUGCACUCAUGUAUGACAUCUAACACUAGGGACUGGAGCCAAGGACAAAAGAGAAGAAGAGAAAAGAAUGUAGACCUAGGGACAAGGAAUCAUUUUCCAUGCUGCAGCAUGUUUGGGUAUGGCAUUCAUUUGGAUUAGUACUCUGAUUUUCCAAGUCUCUAGAGUAAGCCUUGGCCUGUAGACAGUGCUUUUGGUACACAAACAGUCCCUGAAUGCAACCACUUUAUUCUGGAGGGAGUUGUAAAUUGGUGUAUGAGAAUAGGAUCUCCUAUGAAGUUUCUCCUCCUCUGGACAAAAGAACACAGCACUGGGUUGGUGGAUGCUAGUUGCAGGUAAAGUGGCAAUUCAUAAGAAUAAACAAGACAUGAACUACUACUACCCCAACUGCUAUCCAGGGUCUAUCUAUUCAUUUACUUAUUGUGGGGGAAUGUGCUAUGUGGUGGCUGCAGAGUGACAUAACUUUUGUUUUUAUCCAUUUAUUUAUUCAGUUUACAGCCUGAUAGCAGCCCUCCCUCCUCCCAGUCCCCCCCCCCACACAUAGCCUUUUCACUUCUCCUUCUCCUCUAUUCUAAUCGUGGUUAUGAAAACUUUUCAGAAUAAAAGAUUUUCAAAAAUUUCCUUGAGAGAGUUAUAGGAUUGCUGAGAAAAAAAUCACAUACUAUUACCAAUAUCACCAUUAAUCUGGUGUAUUAUUAGAUUAGUAAAAUCUAAUCACUGUGGGAAAUCCUUCAAGAAUACUAGCCAAGAAUCACUUCUGUGGUUUUUUAAUAAAAUCAAUCCAAUUAUGACCAAUCAAAGUCAUGUUGGCGAGAGAAUUGGAGUAAGAGUAAUGUAGAAGGAUGCCAGGUGUUGGAGCUCUAAUUUUUAGGAGGCGAAUGGUCUCCAAGAACCAUAUAGAUAAGAGCAGUAGAUAGAAAUGAGGGUCAAAGCAGGCGAAAGUCACUGUUUUAUCCAUAAACCCAGUCAACGUUUAUUAAAUACUUACUAUGUGUCAGAAAUAAUGUUACAAAGCAUUCACGGUGCACUUUUUGGUGGCAAUUUUAAUACUUACUUUAUUUUAUUAAAAAAAAAACCCUCUACUGCUCCCAUUCAACAAGGCUUAAGCAAUCAUCUUAACCUCUCACCUCCAUGGGUAGGGGCAUAGAAUCUCUUUUAAGCUAACUAAAGACUUAUAAUCUUGAGACCAAAACAACUGGUUAGAUUUGAGUACAUGAAGCAAGCCAGGUAAAUCAGGACCUGGAGUUGUUUAGCUUCAGAAUAAGAGGGUUUUUUUUUUCUCUUCUUGGCAGGAGUUCUGAGAUGAUUAAAGCUUGAUGUUCCUGAUAAACCACAUACAAAGUCAGGGAACACAGGAAAUCUGAGACUCAACCUCACUUGACAGAUCUUGGAGAUAAAGCUAGGCAACUGAGUGGAGUCAAACUUCAAUGGAAGGUAGAAUUGCCUACGACACAAACCAGUGUGCCAGUUUUGAUUUAUGCUAUAUUCUUAAAAACAAAACAAAAAAUACAAACACUUUUAACUGACAAAAAGGGAAAUAAUCACAAUAGUAUAGAGCAUCCCUCGCCCUAUGAUAGAGAGGGAAUUAUAAUAACAGUUCACUGUUCUGGGAAAAAGGAAUAAAAGCUGCUUCCGUAUCCUAUCAGGAGAGCUUGGGGGUUCUAAGGGCGUGACAACGAGCUGGGUAUUAGUAGAUAAUUGGGAAGUGAUUGAGCAGGAGAGAAAAGAGGUUCCGAUAAACUUUCUUGAGCUGGUUCUGGAAGACUCUGUGUGGGUUUGAUGAUUAAAGGAUAGGGAUCUUAACUGAGAAUAGAAAUCCUUUUCUUUAUCUAAAAGUUCAGACUUCCUGAAGAAAUGACUGGGCCUGGAUUUUCUCCGGGAGUUACGAAAACCUUGUUGACCUAGGUCAGUUUACUCAAAAGUGGAGCAAGCCCUUUCCCCUUGCUUUAUACAUGGUUGUCCUCAUCUGCCAGAGUUCCAGCACUGAGCAGUAGUUGAGCCAGGUAGUCCAGGGACUUAAGAUGCAGGGACAAGUUGAACAGGUCUUCUUAGGAACCCAUUGCAUUAUUUUCUUGCUCUAUUGAUAAUUCCAAUGAAACCUGUUCCAAGAAGGCAUCUAUUUAGCCUUUAACUCCGCACAGUGGUUUCUCUCAUAUUUACUUCCUAUGGGGAAAGCUUUCAUAAACCAGGGUUUGCUUCUAUUCUUUUAUAUAUGUGCAUUUCUUGCAGGCUGUGGAAGUGCCAUUUUCUUUCUGCAUUCGUCUUAUCGAGGGGCAUGCAUCCAAUGGCUCAGGGUUUGAGAAUUUUGCACAGGUCUCUAUUCGAUAAAUAAAGCCUAGGACACUUUCCAUAUGAGUCUAUUUCCCAAUUACAGAAAUAGUUCACAGAAGACUUUGCUAGGCAAUUGUGCUUGAAAAGCACAGCGACCUGGUUCACUUUGAAGAACCCCAGGUUCAUGAAACCAUGGUGUCAGAGUAUAGAGAAGUCUUUAAGAGAUCAUCUAGUCUCACGCUCCAGGAAAUAUGAGAGACCAAGGCUCAGGCUGGGAAAUGGAUCUGCUAGGUCAAUUAUGGAGAAUGAGGAAGAAAAACAUAGGCCCAGGGCUUUCAGGUGUUUGAAGCAUCUCCAGAUUCAUGAAACUCGGGCCAAAAUAUUUGUCAGCAAAUUUUAACUAUGAUGAUGCCCAAGGGGCACCUAUUCCACAGUUUGUUUUGAUGGGCUUAAGUGAAUACAGUGCACUACUUUCAUUAAUCCGUCCCAGAAUCUGCAUCUCUCUCCUAAACCCUUUUUUAUUUUCCAGUGUGACAAUCUCUAAUAGAGGACCAAAGUUAGUAGUUAGAUGCUGAUGGUGAUUACACAAGAAUGACAUCCAUCAUCUCCACCAGUACAUUAUAUUAAUAAAAGCUAAGAAUUUCCCAGAUUAGUGGUGUGUGUGUGUGUGUGUGUGUGUGUGUGUGUGUGUGUGUGCGUGCGCGUGCACAUGCAUGCACGUGAUGUGGGUACUUGACAGCACAGUAGCAUGAGCAUGUAGGUGAGUAUACUAUUCAACUUUUAGUCUCUAAAAGAAGCAAGAUCUUAUGCAGGUAAAUAGAAUCUUCCAUGAAGGCAUUCCCCAUAAGACAAGAACGGAAGUCCAUUCAAGAACAGGCCUAAGCCUGUCAGAUAAAAGGGUUGUUUCUGGUUACAACAAAAUGGAUGAAAAAUAAUCAUGAAGCCUGGACACUCUUGCCUCUGUAUGAUGUGUUUCUCCUAACUGAAAUGCCAUAAAGUUGUAGUACUGGAGUCUAUAAUGCUCUAAGGUCCAGAAACCAGCUACGGGACUAUAGUCCAACUGAUUUUCACACACUUGAGUUUGCAAGAUCAAUGAUAGAACAUUUCUAUUUCAUCUUCUCAGUAGAGUUGAAUUACUACAAAUAGGUCAUAUAGAGUAUGUUGUCCAACAUAAAGUAGCACUAUUGCAGAAUUUUAUGGGAGGACAAACAUCACAAAUGUUGAUUGGUGGUGGUGGUGGGGUUUAUGAGCCUGUCUUAGUAGGACCAUAUUAUUCUUGCCAUGCUUUCAGGACUAAAUAUAAGAAAUUUAAUGUGUAAAUAAUGCAGCCUAAGUUGCUAGAGUAGUUAUUUUACAUCUACCUUGGGUUCCCAGACUUAGUAUGUAUGUGAGGUCCUGUUACUUUUCAUGACUAAAAUGUAGCUCAGAAAACACAAGAGUUCAAAAUUAGAGUUUGAAUACCAGAGCACUGUUAUUAAUUAACCAGAUGACCUUGGACUAGUCCACUAAUCCUAGCAGUUCUUAACAGAAUUAUUCAGACCAUUCUAGGACAUCGCAAUCACUGAGGUGUGUCUCGAGUAAAUAGUUAAUGAUAGUCAAGGACUGAAGUUAGGAAGCAUUUUGAAAGAUAGACAUUGUAAGGGGAGGAGGCAUGGAGAGGAGAGGAGGCAGGUGGACAGGAACACCUGGGAGACAUGUUUGGGAAUGUCAAAACAAACCUCUUUGAUUUCUACAGCUAAUGUGUGUUAAUGAGUAUAAUAAAAAUAUAUAAAUUAUAAAAUUUAACUUUAUGCUAAAUAGGUGAUUCUUAUUUUUGUCUUGUAUUAUGAUAUGUUUUCCUAAGGAAGAAAGAACAUGUUAGGAAAGCCAUAGACAGAACAAUGAGGACUGAGAACAAACCGUUCAUUGUCUCUUAAACAGAAACGAGAGUCUGUGCAGUGAGCUUAAACCAUAUGCUAUAUAAGGCCAUUUGGUAUAAGCAAUAGUAUGUGAAAUGCCCCCUUUCUAUAUUAAAACCAUGAAAGUGAUGCUUUCUGGAAGAAAAAGUAAAAUUGGCAUGAAUUUUCACUAUAAUAUACUAAGUUCCAUUGGAUACUGUCUUAAAUCAGUAUUUCUCAACCUAUUGGUUACAAACUCUCAGGGGAUUAAAUGGCCCUUUCAUAGGACCACUCGGAAAACCCAGAUAUUUACAUUAGGAUUCAAAACAGUCACACAAUUACAGUUUUUAAGUAGCAACAAAAAUAUGGCUGGGGGUCACCACAACAUGAGGAACCAUUAAAGGGUUGCAACAUUAGGAAGGUUGACAAUCACUGUUCUAGAUCCAAGUAUCCAAGUUCCCAGGAUUAGAUGUUCUUUCAUCAGGCCAUGAGCUGGAAAAUAUUGUGAAACUCUUAAACUGUACUCAGCCAAAGAAGACAGUAAGUGCCCUAUCAACAUUAGUUAUGAUGAUGGUGGAUUUUUACAGUGCCCAUGAGUUGUGAUAGCAUAAAUGUUCCUACUUCCCUUUAACGUUCAUACACUAUUCCAUUUUUAAUAACAGCACUGUGAGGGAAGGCAAGAAAAAGGAGUUUUAUAUUGUGCAGAGUGAAAAUGGCUUUAGGUGCAUUUCUGUCUAUGAUGCACAGUUACUUCAAAAUUAAAAGGCAGGCAAGGUGAUAAAAUAAGUGAAAUUGUAAAAUGCUCUUCAGGUUCAUAAUGAGAUGUAAAUACUCUAUAAAUUCAGCCUUUCAUUAUUGUAAACAAUAAAAUCGGGUUGAUUUGUGUCUUCCUUCAA